CACACUCUCUCUCUCUCUCCCCAAUUCAAAAUUUAAAAAGCCCCCUCUUUUCUGUGUAUAAAACCCCCUAGAAAUCCCAAUCCCACACUAUCUCUAUGUUCCAACCAAAAUAACCCUCUCUUUCUCUGAAUCCAUCCAAAAGAUCUACCCCCUCUCUCGAAACCCCCAGCUGCUCGCUCUCUCGCCUCCCCAAUCGAGCCGAGGAUGAGGAGAUGAAGCGAGGAGGAGCUCGAGGGCUCAGCGCCCGAGCAACGGAGGCAGCGGAAACGGCGAGCUCAGGCCCCUCUUCUCUCCUCGCCCGAGCAACGAAGGUCGACAAAAGAAGCUUAUAUCAAGGCUUCUCCUAACCUUCUCGGUUUGAAGGCAUUCUUCAAAGAUUGCUGCUUUUCUUCUCUUUUUGCCUUUAAACAUUACGUGUAGAUGUUAUUUUAAUUGAAGAAGUUGGGAAUAAAACAGCGAUGCUGUUGAUGAGGAAAUUGCAAUUGCCAAUUUAGUGAGGGCGAGACCACUGAAUGGGUAAACUUGGAAUAUGGCCACCCAAAUCCUUCAGAUGAAGAUUGGAUUGGAGUUUUUUCUCCUGCAAAAUUCAGUACUUCUGUCUGUGAGCCAGAGAGUGGAAGAGAUCAGCCUCCGUUACUCUGUACUUCCCCUAUCAAGAUUAAUGUUUGGUUUAGUACUCUCCCUCUUUUUGGACGGGAAUUGCAAUGAUGCAAACAAUAGGAUGCAUUUUAUGCAAUGACAAGCACAUGUUGGACUUAUGUUAGAAAUCAGAGGAAAAGUAGUUGCUAAGUUCUGCGUAAAAUAUCUGCACACUCAGGUGCUCAAGAAUGAAGCUUCUUCAGCUGGUGAUUUAGGUGUUUCUAUCCAAAAAUCUUUCUUCAGAAUGGGCGAGAUGAUGCGUGGGGCAGAGAGGAUGGAGGGAGUUUGCUGUAUUGGGAGAUAAGAUAAACAAGUUUACUGGUAUGAUAGAAGGCUUCAUAUGGUCUCCGUAGGCUGGUGAUUCCCAUGACCAACAAGAUGACUGGGCAUUUGAAGAGCUGCUUGAUCCAGUAGACAAAACAGCAGACCGAGAUUUAAGUCUUAUAGAGACGGUCCGCUUCUCUCGCGGGCUCACCGCCUCCGAAUCUUCGGUUCUAUCUUUCUAACUAAAGCUAUUUAAUUUUCUUUAUCAUUUAUUCAUAUUAAUUUUAUGCUUAGUUAGAGAUAUUGUAGAUAUACAUUGAAAGAUAGAUUGAAUGGUUUAGCAAGAUAAAUUGAAUGGUUUAGCAAUAUUAUCUAUCGAAAAUAAUAUGUUAGAAAAUAUUAAAUAUUAAUUAGUAAUUUUGCAGCUCAAAAGGUAAGAAGAAUGAGAUAAAAUCUAUUAUGAGUUGUAUCACUUAGGCCUCAUCUAAUAUUUCGCAUUGGGCCCCAAAAUUCCUAGGUACGACCAAGGUUCGUGGGUUCUUCAAAAUUUUAUUGCAUGUAUGAAUUGUUGCGCUAAAUUCUGUUCAGGGUCCUAAUAAAAAACCCCAAAUUGAGUAGUUUCCAGUUAAUGCAGAUAAUUUGAGCUGUGAGAAUUGUACUAGCUGCUGUUUUUUGUUUUGGGCAAUCUUAAAGUUAUCUAUGUUAGCCCUUUUUAUGUCAGUGAUUAAUUAUACUUGUAAGGUAAAUUUCACAAAGCCCUCACGAGUGUGAAAGUUUUUACUUAAUUCCUAAAAAGUUUGAAACUUUCACCUAACCCAAGAAGGAAAAUCCAUAAAAACCCCAUCGUAUAUUAAUUUUUUCACUUGUUCUUAUGAUGGCAUUACAUAAACAGGAUGAAUUUGGAGUUCUGGAGGAAGAAAUUGCCAAAACCAAAAUUUGGAGAUUGGGAGCUUAGACCUGUGAGCGAACACAACCAAAGAUGAGAAAGAAGUGGGAAAAGUAAAUUUUAGGGCAAAAAAUAUAAAAAGAGGACCUGAAUGUUUCUUUUUUCUUUUUCUUUUUUGUUGGUUGAAAUGAUUAAGGGUGUCUUGUCUUUUGACAACAUCUGAUUUGCACGUGAUGCAUCAGAACUAAUGUCUCAUUUGGUACACAUGAAUGAGUGGGAAUGGAAUGCUCUUUCCCACUUCUUAUUCAUGCGUACCAAACACAACACAUUUUUAAAAGCUAGAAUGCUCAUUCCCACUUCUCAUUCAUUCCCGCUUUAUGUGUGAGACUGAGCAUUCCCAAUGAGAUGGUAGACAAUGGGUGUUCCCACUUAAGUGAGAACAAAAAAUUUGAAAUAAUGCAUUAAUUGCUUAUUAAUUGUCGAUACCAAAAAUAAAAAUGAUUUUCAUCCUCACUUCAUUCUCUAAUCGCUCGCAAAUGUAAGAAUGAGAAUGAUACGUAAAUUUUUCCUUGAAGAAUGUCAUCUGAACAUAAAUAUGAUUCAUCAUUGAUAUGUUGGUGGAGAAAGGAGAACAAUUCUUAGGUGUUUUGCUAUUUUUUUUGGCUGACCCCAAGACUUGGAACCUUCGUUUCUUUUUUUAUUAUUAAUUUGGUAUUGAUUAGUGUUAAAUGGUUGGUACGCUUGCUUGAGC